GAUGAACGCUGGCGGCGUGCCUAAUACAUGCAAGUCGAACGCUUCACUUCGGUGAAGAGUGGCGAACGGGUGAGUAAUACAUAAGUAACCUGGCAUCUACAGGGGGAUAACUGAUGGAAACGUCAGCUAAGACCGCAUAGGUGUAGAGAUCGCAUGAACUCUAUAUGAAAAGUGCUACGGGACUGGUAGAUGAUGGACUUAUGGCGCAUUAGCUGGUUGGUAGGGUAACGGCCUACCAAGGCGACGAUGCGUAGCCGACCUGAGAGGGUGACCGGCCACACUGGGACUGAGACACGGCCCAGACUCCUACGGGAGGCAGCAGUAGGGAAUUUUCGGCAAUGGGGGAAACCCUGACCGAGCAACGCCGCGUGAAGGAAGAAGUAAUUCGUUAUGUAAACUUCUGUCAUAGAGGAAGAACGGUGGAUAUAGGGAAUGAUAUCCAAGUGACGGUACUCUAUAAGAAAGCCACGGCU
rnacentral:rRNA from 1 species